UGCUAGCCUCGGGACGCACCCGACGAGACGCGCCGUACCGGGUCAGGACAAGACGACGCACC
rfam:Streptomyces decoyicus strain NRRL 2666 P029contig43.1, whole genome shotgun sequence.